rnacentral:rRNA from 1 species
UCUUUUUACCCCGUUCAAAGGUAGAGUAAUCAGUUSUCCCCCAAAUAGGAAAUAGUAUGAACGGCCACAUGAGGGUWCAACUGUCUCUYUUAGUUGCUCAAUGAACUUGAUCUUUCAGUACAAAAGCUGAAAUACUCCCAUAAGACGAGAAGACCCUGUGGAGCUUAAGUCACAGCACUACUACCACAUAGCGCCUCCCUUUAGUUGGGGCGACUGCGGAACAAAACACAACUUCCCUGCCACACAUUAAACCCCGCAACGACACACAUGUCACUGCACCCACACCACGACCCAGUACUACUGACUAACGAACCAAGUUACCCCAGGGAUAACAGCGCUAUCCUCUUCUAGAGCCCCUAUCGCCAAGAGGGUUUACGACCUCGAUGUUGGAUCAGGACCUCCUGGUGGUGCAGCCGCUACCAAGGGUUCGUUUGUUCAACGAUUAAGGUC